GGACGUAGUUUAGGAUUGAGUGAACCAGUAUAAAAUACCUAUGUUAUUGUUCUUCCUAUUUAAAACUCUUUUCUUAAACACUUUAUUUGGAACAUAUGUCCAAUAACUAUUACAAACCGUCUAACCCUUGUAAUAGUUAUUAAACAUUGAUUUGCAAAAAUUUUUGAAACACUAUUAAAUCCCCCCCCCCUCCUUCUAGUCUUUUCCUACGAUUUCAGGUGGUAUCAGAGCUAACCUCAAGGGUUAUUUCUUUGCCAAACUUG
rnacentral:lncRNA from 1 species